CCCUCCUUCCUUCUCCUAAGCUCUCUCUCGCACCCCGCCGUUAACCUCAGUCGUACCUUUUAGUCGCUCAUGGCUCCCAUCUCACUCAGUCUUCGUCAGCCGUUCACCCCGUUUCUUUUGUAAGCUCUCAGUGUUACUCACUGCGCAGGCAGCCAGCUCUCAGUUUCCCAUCGUCGGCGUCGCAAGAAGACACCUCACAGCCUCCCAACCUCGGCGUCGCAAGAAGACACCUCACAGCCUCCCAACCUCGGCGUCUCAUUCGGCAAGCAACAAAUAUCUUUUCAUUGUAUUCUAAAAAUGGACUCAGAUUCAUUUUCCCGCCAAGUUCUUCCUCUGCAGUGCAAAGCUUGGUAAGCAAUGUCUUUGGAGACUGUGGUACUGCGAACAUCAACCAAGGACCUUUGGAUAUGAUGUGCACAAUGAAUCCAAAGGAACCCUAAAUUUCUCAAUCAUGAUUCACAAGUUUCUCGGUAUCAUUAACUGGAUUCAACCGUCCAGAAUCAAAACCUUAAACCCAUGUAUCUCCCCGUCUCGACUUUGUCAUUUCAAGUCAGAAAAGGAUUAUGAUUCUUCAAACCAACCUUCAAAUUCUUCAUCAAGAACCGCUCAAAACAAUGUUGCAAUAUUCUGGGAUUUGGAUAACAAGCCCCCAAAUUCAUUCCCUCCGUUUGAAGCGGCCAUUAAGCUGAAAAGGCUGCAUCUACAUUCGGGGUUGUUCAGUCCAUGGUGGCAUAUGCUAAUCAUCAUUCGCUUAGUCACGUACCUAAAGUUGUUCGGGAGCAGAGAA